UGUGUAUAAGUGUAUAUUGCACAUAGAGUUUUGAUUUCUAUAGUUUAGGCUAAUAACCUUUAUUCACAA
rnacentral:tRNA from 1 species